CUGGCGGCGUGCCUAAUACAUGCAAGUCGAACGGUCUUUCUAAUGGGAAGCUUGCUUCCACUGAGAAGAUAGUGGCGAACGGGUGAGUAACACGUGGGUAACCUGCCCAUAAGAGGGGGAUAACAUCCGGAAACGGGUGCUAAUACCGCAUAGUUUUCUUGAUCGCAUGAUUGAGAAAGGAAAGACGGCCUUUGUGCUGUCGCUUAUGGAUGGACCCGCGGCGUAUUAGUUAGUUGGUGAGGUAACGGCUCACCAAGACGAUGAUACGUAGCCGACCUGAGAGGGUGAUCGGCCACAUUGGGACUGAGACACGGCCCAAACUCCUACGGGAGGCAGCAGUAGGGAAUCUUCCGCAAUGGACGAAAGUCUGACGGAGCAACGCCGCGUGAGUGAAGAAGGUUUUCGGGAAUCGUAAAACUCUGUUGUCAGAGAAGAACAAGUUGGAGAGUAACUGCUCCAGCCUUGACGGUAUCUGACCAGAAAGCCACGGCUAACUACGUGCCAGCAGCAGC
rnacentral:rRNA from 1 species